rnacentral:rRNA from 1 species
AGUGAACGCUGGCGGCGUGCCUAAUACAUGCAAGUCGAACGAAGUGGCGCACGGGUGAGUAAUAUAUAGUUAAUCUGCCCUGCACAGAGGAACAACAGUUGGAAACGACUGCUAAUACCUCAUAGUGUAGGAUGAGACUAUAUCGUAUCAGCUAGUUGGUAAGGUAAUGGCUUACCAAGGCUAUGACGCGUAACUGGUCUGAGAGGAUGCGCAGUCACAUUGGAAGUGAGGCAGGGUUGAAGCUUCUACGAGAGGGGGCAGUAAGGAAUAUUGGCCAAGCGGGGAAACCCUGAAGGGGCAACGCCGUGUGGAGUAUGACACUUUUCGGAGCGUAAACUCCUUUUAUCAGGAAAGCGGUACCUGAUGAAGAAGCACCGGCUAACUCCGUGCCAGCAGCCGCGGUAAUAC